GUUUAUAUCACAACCCAAACCCCUCAAACCUCCGAGCUGAUUUCUAUAAAGAUGGAUCAGUUCUCCAGAACCAGACUACAGGAGAGAUGAUCAUCCAAACUGUCUCAAAGUCAGAUGAAGGUUUCUACCAUUGUAAACACCCAGAGAGAGGAGAAUCACUGAAAAGCUGGCUCUUAUUCAGAUUCUCAGGUUCUACAUCCAGUGGUUUAACAGUAGGACUGGUUGUGGGUUUGGGAUUUUUGUUUAUCGCUUUUCUGAUCUUAAUGAUCCUGCUGUGGUUCUGCAAAAGAAAAAAAGCUACUGCAGGUGCUGAUGCUGAUGUGACUUAUGCUGAGAUUGAACUAAAACCAACAAAAAAAGCAAAGAGAAUAAAAGGUAGACCAAAAUGAUCCCAUGCACUCUUGUUUUAUGUAAUGAAUAAAACACUCUGUUGUGCUGUUAUAGGAAAAUAAUCAGUCACAGUGUGGUGUGAUGAAGCAGAGUUACAGCUUCAAAGUUCUUACAUUGAAGGUGACUAUUUUCCCAUUACAGCACAUCCCAAAGUGUUUAACUACAGCAGCUUCCCUAUUUAAUUUUACAGCAUGUACAGAAUAAAUAUUAAUUCUCUUACCAGCCUCUUGAAGUGAAUGUUACAAAAUCUAUCUGUCCUGUUACCGAGAAUAAAGUCAGCUGUCUUGAUUUCCCAGUCAGAAAACGUCCUAAAAUGAAUACAGUGCUAAUACUGGAGACUCCUUC